AGCGAACGCUGGCGGCAGGCCUAACACAUGCAAGUCGAACGAAGUCUUCGGACUUAGUGGCGGACGGGUGAGUAACACGUGGGAACGUACCUUGUGGUUCGGAACAACUCAGGGAAACUUGAGCUAAUACCGGAUGAGCCCUUAGGGGGAAAGAUUUAUCGCCGAAAGAGCGGCCCGCGUUAGAUUAGCUAGUUGGUGAGGUAAAGGCUCACCAAGGCUACGCGCUAUAGCUGGUCUGAGAGGAUGAUCAGCCACACUGGGACUGAGCCACGGCCCAGACUCCUACGGCAGGCAGCAGUGGGGAAUCUUGCGCAAUGUGCGAAAGCCUGACGCAGCCAUGCCGCCUGAAUGAUGAAGGUCUUAGGAUUGUAAAAUGCUUUUGCCAGGGACGAUAAUGACGGUACCUGGAGAAAAAGCCCCGGCUAACUUCGUGCCAGCCGCCGCAGUAAUAC
rnacentral:rRNA from 1 species